AUGUUCUUUUGGUAUUAUUUAAAAGAUUUGGCCUGCUCACUGAUUAUUUAAAGAGCUGCAGUAUUAUGACUGUACAAAGGUAGCAUAAUCAUUAGUUUUUUAAUUGAGGACUAGUAUGAAAGGUUUGACACGGAAGCACUGUCUUAAGCUUAAUAAUUGAAUUUUUCUUUUUUGUUAAAAGACAAAAAUGAUUGUAAGGGACAAGAAGACCCUUUUAAAGUUGAUUUGAAGGAUAAUAUUUUAUAUAUAUAUUAUUAAGGUGAUAUUAUUUUUUAGGUUUGGCUGGGGCGGCAAAUGUAAUUAAAACAACAUUUAAAAUAAAUAUGAUUAAGCUUUUUUUAAGGUCUUACUAGGAGACAGAAAGAAAAAGUUACUAAAGGGAUAACAGCGUAAUAUGUUUUAAGAGUUCUUAUUGACGAACAUGUUUGCGA
rnacentral:rRNA from 1 species